rnacentral:rRNA from 1 species
UACAGAGGUCUCAAGCGUUGUUCGGAUUCAUUGGGCGUAAAGGGUGCGUAGGCGGCGAGGCAAGUCUGGUGUGAAAUCCCGGGGCUCAACCCCGGAACUGCACUGGAUACUGCUUUGCUAGAGUACUGGAGAGGGAACUGGAAUUUACGGUGUAGCAGUGAAAUGCGUAGAUAUCGUAAGGAAGACCAGCGGCGAAGGCGAGUCCCUGGACAGUUACUGACGCUGAGGCACGAAGGCCAGGGGAGCAAACGGG